rnacentral:rRNA from 1 species
AACGAACGCUGGCGGCAGGCCUAACACAUGCAAGUCGAACGCACCGCAAGGUGAGUGGCAGACGGGUGAGUAACGCGUGGGAACGUGCCCAUCGGUUCGGAAUAACCCAGGGAAACUUGGGCUAAGACCGGAUACGUGCGAGAGCAGAAAGAUUUAUCGCCGAUGGAUCGGCCCGCGUCUGAUUAGCUUGUUGGUGGGGUAAUGGCUCACCAAGGCGACGAUCAGUAGCUGGUCUGAGAGGAUGAUCAGCCACACUGGGACUGAGACACGGCCCAGACUCCUACGGGAGGCAGCAGUGGGGAAUAUUGGACAAUGGGCGCAAGCCUGAUCCAGCCAUGCCGCGUGAGUGAUGAAGGCCCUAGGGUUGUAAAGCUCUUUCGCACGCGACGAUAAUGACGGUAGCGUGAGAAGAAGCCCCGGCUAACUUCGUGCCAGCCGCCGCCGUAAUAC